UGCAGAUGAUGAAAACUAUCUUUUGCUUUCUAAACAUUAAUGUUGACAACCUUCCACCAAGAUCGCUGAGCA